CCUGGCACUGGCGGCGGCGCUCCCCGGUCCCCCCCUUCACCCCCCACCUUCCAGCCUCACCCCCUCCCGUCUCCUCCUGGGAGCGCUCGGAGUCUUGUUGCUAAUCGUGCUCAAAACUUCCUGUGGCUUGAGCUAGUCUCUAGCUGAAUCUCUGACAGCUUCUGCAGUACAGAAAACUGCAGUAUCAGACUUGAAAAGCUGGCUGCGUUCUUUAACUGUAUUUUGGAUGGGAUUUUCUUUUUCUUCAUUGCCAUCUAUAGAAAUUGAUGAUUUUUUUUAGGUAAGUUUUUACACUUAAUUUUUAAUAAUUUGUGAAGUUAUCUUUUUAUCAUCUCCAUGUAUAAUACAGUUUCUCUUUUAUGUCAUGCAUUUACUUACAGUUUUUAAUACAAAACCAUGUCUCUUGUAGCUAAAUCUGACAUAAUUAAAAUUUAAAAUGUUUUAAGACUGUAAAAAAAAUUUUUGGUUUCAAUCCUAGAAAUAUAGUAGAAUUGGAACAGUUUUGGAAACCUCUUCUGGGUUAUGAUCCAAGGGAAUAAUAGUAAGGGAUUUUUCAGAAAUAAAGCACUACAAAAAAGUACUGAAAUGGGAUUAGGAGGAUCAAAAGCUAUUUUUAAAGGUAUGCGGGAAAUCUGUAAUAGAGUUUUAAAAAGAUAAAGACAUAGAUAUAACAAAGAAAAUUAAAAUCUUAGUUUAGAAAAUGAAUAUAGAUAAGUUUGCCUUAAGAACUUACACUUUUAUACAUGAUUAAUUUUUUUUUGUAUUCCUAGUGCUAGUGCCCAAAACUUAUUCUUCACUGUUUAUUUCCAAACUUCAGUUACGUGAUGCUGCGUAUACAUUAAAUAAUAUGAAGAAACUGACGUAUCUAGAAAUUCUGCUUAUAACCCUGUUUUGUUUUUUUUUUUUUCUUGUGGUUCAGAAAACUUAUUUUUGUAAUGUUUGCUUUCUUUGGAACUGGUUUCAUUUUCUUCUAUGCCUUUAUUAUUAUGUCUUAAUAGUUUAGUUGGGUUUUUACAUAGUUAGAGGUGAUUAAUCAUUCAUUAAUUGAUUUCUACAGACUUUAGUAUGUUUUCAAUAGGUAGAUAAAAUGUCAUAAAACAUUCUGUACUCACGUGCCUACUGACUAUGAAGAGAGAGAAAUGAUGUAUGUAGCAUGCUUGUAAUAUGUAUUAGUAAUCUU